rnacentral:snoRNA from 1 species
AAAAGUUACGUUUGAUGAAUCAAUUAGAUAUGUGAGAGGGGAAGUCCUUUCUAUUCUAAACUUUAUGAGUCAUUGAUAUUGAUAUAUCUGACUUUU